GCUGGGGUCCACUCAAGAGAGCCUUGUACUCUAAGCUUUCCUCAAAAUUUAUGGAUCUGUGGAAUAUUUCAAGAAAGAGAAUAACAGGAUCAGCUUUGCAUUCUAGAAAGGUCACUCUGAAGGAUGAGGGAUAUUCUUGAAUCAGGAAUUAGCCCAAAAGGUAGAUAUAACAAAGGCUUGAGUAAGACAGAGAAAGAGAGGGAAUGGCAUGGAGAGGUAAGGAGGAGGACACAACAGGUUUCCUGACAGUGUGGCUUUGGCACCUAAGGAGAGCUGGGCUCCAGGGUGGUUUCCGGUUUCCAACUCAAGUGACCCAAGUGGAACAUGGAGUCAUCAAUGAGUUGGCAAGAACAAAGUGGGACCUGACUUAGAAGAAGCUCCUAAAGGGAAAGAAGGGCUGGGAAACGGGACAGAUGGGUAUAUAGUUUGAGGCAAGUCAAAUAGGAGAUGAGAUAUUUAGUGAAAAUGUUCAGUAAAAAUGUGGAGCCCAGGUGAGGCCUGAAGAAGAGUCGGAUGUCCAGAGUGGCUCAAUGGGUAGAGUCAUAGGGGGAUGAGGCUGUACAGGAGAUGGCAGCUGAGAAAGGUUCUAGAUAAGGAGAUGGAGCCCCUGAAAUUCCAGCACAAGAACAAAGAGCCCAAGAGGCAACUGGGGAAGCAGAGUGGGUCCUGGGAGAGUGAAGGGGGUGGGUAUUUGAACAUGGUGGCAAAACGCAAGGGUGGCAAUUGUUACUUCUGAGAGAAGUCAAGUAAGCUGAGGGCCCUUCAGAAGAGAGGAUUACCAGCAACCCCAGUGGCAGGAGUUCAGUCACUCCUGUGGGAUAACAGGAUGAUAGGAGGAGGGUUAGAGAAUGGAGGAGAAAGUUUCUAAGUUUAUGGGGUGGAGUGAGAGGACUAGCUGUGAGUGAGAGGUGGAGGAUUAUAGGGUUAUCAGGUUCCCACUUUAGGGCUCAAGUCACACCUCUUGGCAUGCUGCUUUAUUUUCCUUACCACAUCCUUGAUUGUGGCUUGUAAAUCUUGAAGCCUGCUCCUUUAGCCCUCUCAGACACUCGGUUCAAAAAUAUGUAAUGAAUUGAAAGAAUUAGCAUUUGUCAUCUCCAAGAAUCCCAGGUGGCUUGAAAAAGUCCUGAGUAGCUUCAGUUACAGGUUUUUUGUUCUGAAACCUCUGCUUUCAAACUGAUUGCAUCACUGCCUCCAGGAACACCUGACAGGUAGGAUCCCCCCCUUGCCUAACCCUGCUUCCUUUCUCUCAGCAGGCAGAGUGACGAGCUGCCUGCAGUCUGCAGCUGAGGCACCCAGAGACCUGGUGUCUCUGAACAGCUCCGAGCGCUGCCUGCUCUGAGCUAGCCAGCUCCUGCCUGGGCUGAGCAGCGAGAGAGAAAGACAUCUGUGAUAUCCGAUGACAAUCAUCUCUGAUUAGAGUGUCACCACAUAGCACAGGCGAGCCGGGGCCACAGCUAAUUAGCUAUGUGAGGCCAGCACUGUUUACUGUAACUGUACUAACAAGUUGCAGCUUUUUCUAUUGCUGAAGAGUCAUUGCACAAAUGCCAGCCAGGAACCCUUCACUCCAACAGUUUAGGGACAGACUUGCUACCUCCUUACUGUACCAAUACCAGGAAACAUUAAUACCUUUGUGCCAAGAACCUCUUCAAGUCCAUGUUUCCUCCUUCUGCAUACCGUCACCUCAAGUCAUAAUAGUAGAAUAAGUUGCUUUAUUGAAUCUGAAAUUAUUCUAAAUGGGCUUGCACUUUUAAAUGGAUACCUCUUUUUCUUUUUUAGCACCCCUUGGGCUAUGUCAAGGAAUCAGCUAACUCUGGGAAAUACAGCUAAGAUGGCUUUGUCAUUUGAGCUAAAGUGUGACAGGAGCAGAUGGAAAGACCAGAAGCUUAAUGGGAAUUAAAGGCAUGCACUCUACUUUAUCCCAUUCAUGUUUGAUAUAUUUGAUCUAUUGUUCAUAAACAUAUUACCUUUAAGGAUAUAGUUCCGAUUUUUUGCUAUAAAACCCAUUGAAAUCAGUUUCAAGAUAUUUUUUCUAAGGCUUUUUCAACAUAAGAGAAAAUUUCCUUGUAAGUUCUCUUACACCCAUAGAAGAAGCAUUUCUCUAUAACUUCAAAAAAUGAUAUGCUAUCUUGCAGCUUCUAUAUCUUUUAGAAAUAAAUGCUUCUAACUCAGGAGCCUUGAAUUGGAAACAUUGUGUGUAUAAUACUGAUGAAACUCAUGUAACUAUUUGAGCUUGAUUUCAGGAUACUUUUAUAUUUUGGCCAUUGAGAAAACUUUGGAGAAUUUUACAAAGUCAGUGAAAAUUAGUAACAUCUUCCUUGGAAUUACUACUACCAGAAGCCUAAACCUUCACAAAUUGACUCAUUUGUUCGUCUGAGAAAUCUACCAACUUAUCUUCCCAAGUUCCCAAUCUAAGGACUUCAAAUAUUUUGCCGAAUUCCUACUUUCCUUCCCUGAGCCAAAACUAGUUGCUCAGAAACUUUCAGAAAACAGAAUGCCAAAAUAAUUCUGAAAGUCCAUAUGUUGUCAUAUACAAGUAUAGGACUUUUUACGGACACAAAAAACUGAUAUUUUAUUUUCCAGAGAAAACCAUGGACUAAACGUCUUGAAAAUACACACAGUGUUCCUAGCACCAGUGCAUAAAGUAGAAGCUCUGGAAAUGUAAAUACUUUCAAUAAAGCGCACUGUGGGUGCGUUAUUUCAUUUCAGUACUGUUUAAAAUUAAUUUAUCAUUGAAAGCACAUUUUAGAGUGAGUUUCCAUAAAUCUCCAUAUUUAGAAAUUCAAAAGUGUCUUUAGCAUGCUCAUUCACUUUGUUACUUUCAUAAUUUCCAACAAGCAAAGUUUCUUUUCUUAAUGAAAGUGGUAUUUUUAGGGAUAUUUUUUUGCUUUAACUUUAAACAAAAUUCCCUCUCCAGGAGGAAGGUUGAUUACCAAUCUUUGGUCUGGAGGUAAGUUUUACAGCUGUUUUAAACCCAUGAAAGUGGGUCUUAUAUUGGAAGUGCUGACACAGCCCUAUCCACCAUGUAUCGGCAUGAACUAUACCGCUGUAAUAAGCAGUUAUUAUGUAUGUGUAAAAAUAAUGAGAGGCCGUGUCUGAAGAGAGUUAAUGUAAAAUGCUAAGCAAUUAUAGUUGGUUACACAGUAUAGGUUAAUAUUCUUUCAUAUAGCUGCACUUUUUUUUUCUUCUUUUGUCCUCCAGAACUCCUAAUGAAAAUUUUGAGACCUGACUGUAAUGAUAAGCAGCCAUUCACACGUCCUUUGUGUCAAGGCUGCUGCAUUAGCGGCUCCCCUUCAUAUAACAUUUUGCAUAGCCUAAAGCAUCUAUUAAAAUCCUUUGUAAAAUUCAUGAAACAAAAGUGGUGGGUUGAGUCUAGGGGGAGAGAAAGUAAGCUGCUUAUUAGCAAAAAGUCAAAAACACAGGGCCAAUUACAGAUCUGAACAAGAAGGGCUAAGGAACAGCGCAGGGAGUAAUUCUUUCUUCAGCCCAAUGGGCUCAAGCGCGGGGCAGGUUGGAUGGAAAUAGCGCAACAGUCUGAGCAGUAAUUAAACAGAAAUGUUUGGAGUUAGAAACAGCUCUAUAACGACGGAAGGAAAUGCUCAACUCCAACUAUUGUCUGGCUUCACCAAGAUGCUAAAUUGGAAGGAUUUAGGGGUUGCUCCCUAAAGGAGAGAUGGGGGGUAGUGCAGAGGAGUGGGGGCUCAGGAGAUAUGUAAAGAAUCCGUUCUGUCUUUCAAAUGUUAUAAAUUAGAUUUAAAAGAGAGAGAGAGAGAGAGAGAGAGAGAGAGAGAGAGAGAGAGAGAGAGACCCGGAGAGAGAGAAAGAGGGAGAGCCUUCCUACCGAACCAGCAACAUAAAACUGAAUAAACCACAAUAAGAUUGCCCUUUUUCUGUUAUAAACUUGGCAUUAAGCUUGUCAUGUUCAAUGACAGCCUACUAGGCCUCAUGCUUUACCCUUUGGAAUUUGAAAGAUUGGCAGGUGUCAUGAUUUCCUUAACAUAAAAGACCUUGCAGAUAAUGUUCACCAUGCACAUUUAUACUUUCCUAACUCCACUUUCCUCCUCCCCGGCAUCAUCGGGUGAGCUUUCUACUCAGGCUGUGGGUGCUGGGGCUGCCUGGAAGUAUAUCUGGCCUGAGGACAAUGUUUACUGCCAAAGGAGCUUGCGGCAGAGGCUGUACUUUUAUGAUUCUCCUUAGCAGUCUAAACAUGCCCCACAUUUACAAUAAUGAGCUGCUUUGUAGAGAGCAGCGCUCUGAGAGCAUUGUUACUUCUCUUUGAAAUGUUGAAUGCAACCAGAAUGGCUCUCCUCUGACUUAAGGCUAGAAACAGGGUCCCAUUUAAACAAUAAUCCCCUCUCUUUGCAACCUCCCACUCCAGCCAGAUCCUUGCAAUAACUCCAAGGGGGGAAAAUCCCAUCAACAUGAAGAGAAACACAAAACUCCUAUGGAAGGCUGACACUUCUGUUUCUAGUGGCAUCUCUGAAUGGCACCUGUUUGCUACCACCCAAUGUCAUUUGAAAAUAAACAGAUGAGUUCCCCCACCCCCACCCCAGAGGAAUCAGUGGCCAGAAU
rnacentral:lncRNA from 1 species